rnacentral:pre_miRNA from 1 species
AUGAUACUCCCUCCAUCCCGAAAUACUUGUCGGGGAAUGGAUAAAAAUGGAUAUAUCUAGAACUAAAAUAUGUCUAGAUACAUCAAUUUCUUCGACAAGUAUUUCUGGACGGAGGGAGUAUAAA